rnacentral:rRNA from 1 species
GAUGAACGCUAGCGGGAGGCCUAACACAUGCAAGCCGAGCGGGAUUUGAGACUAGCUUGCUAGUCUUAAUGAGAGCGGCGUACGGGUGCGGAACACGUGUGCAACCUGCCUUUAUCUGGGAGAUAGCCUUUCGAAAGGAAGAUUAAUAUCCCAUAAUAUAAUGAUUGGCAUCAAUUAUUAUUGAAAGCUCCGGCGGAUAGAGAUGGGCACGCGCAAGAUUAGAUAGUUGGUGAGGUAACGGCUCACCAAGUCGAUGAUCUUUAGGGGGCCUGAGAGGGUGAUCCCCCACACUGGUACUGAGACACGGACCAGACUCCUACGGGAGGCAGCAGUGAGGAAUAUUGGACAAUGGGUGAAAGCCUGAUCCAGCCAUCCCGCGUGAAGGAUUAAGGACCUAUGGUUUGUAAACUUCUUUUCUACAGGGAUAAACCUACUCUCGUGAGAGUAGCUGAAGGUACUGUAGGAAUAAGCACCGGCUAACUCCGUGCCAGCCGCCGCUGUAAAAC